rnacentral:rRNA from 1 species
AUACGGAGGGUCCAAGCGUUAUCGGGAUUCAUUGGGUUUAAAGGGUGCGCAGGCGGGCUUGUAAGUCAGUGGCGAAAUACUGCCGCUUAACGGUAGAACUGCCAUUGAUACUGCAAGUCUUGAAUAUGGUUGAGGUAGGCGGAAUGUGUUGUGUAGCGGUGAAAUGCAUAGAUAUGACACAGAACGCCAAUUGCAAAGGCAGCUUACUAAGCCAUUAUUGACGCUGAGGCACGAAAGCGUGAGGAGCGAACAGGAUUAGAAACCCCAGUAGUCC